AAAGCAUGAUGUGGACAUUUCCUCAUUAGCUCCUUAUAUCUUUCCCACGCCUCAUAUAAGGAUUCAUUGUCUUGCUGCACGAAGGAGGUGAUCUCAUUCCUCAUUUU
rfam:Vigna angularis cultivar Jingnong 6 scaffold543_4, whole genome shotgun sequence.